GCCUGGGUGGCUCAGUCGGUUAAGCGUCCGACUUUGGCUCAGGUCAUGAUCUCACAGUUUGUGGGUUCGAGCCCCGCGUCGGGCU
rnacentral:tRNA from 1 species